CCUACGGGAGGCAGCAGUGAGGAAUAUUGGUCAAUGGGCGAGAGCCUGAACCAGCCAAGUCGCGUGAACGAGGAAGGUCUUCGGAUCGUGAAGUUCUGUUGAAGGGGAAAAAGAGCGGAGAGAGGAAAUGCUUUCUGAUUGAUAUUACCCUUCGAGGAAGUCACGGCUAACUACGUGCCAGCAGCCGCGGUAAUACGUAGGUGGCAAGCGUUGUCCGGAUUUAUUGGGCGUAAAGCGAGUGCAGGCGGUUCAAUAAGUCUGAUGUGAAAGCCUUCGGCUCAACCGGGGAAUUG
rnacentral:rRNA from 1 species